UGUGUUAUUUUGCUUUAGCCUGGGUUAGUUUUGCCUUGGUGGCUGCUGCUUCUAUUUUUAUUGCCCAUUAUUCUCUAUUCUGCUCCCAGCUGUACCUGCUGCAGGCCCUGUGCUCUCCCUAAGGUGGUUAUGGUGCACCUGCACAUGUGGAUUUGAUAAGGAGCUAUUGCAGUGAUAAAAAGUGUUGAUAGGUCAAAGCUGCAGUGGUAAAAUUAAUUGUUCAGAGACUUGGAGUCUCAAGGCACCCAUAAAAGCAGUGUAAUGCACAGUAUGGAGUACCACCUGUGUGUAGCAGCUGUCUCAACAACUUUGCUGACACAGAGAAAAAAAAAGUGAUGCUCAAGAGAUUUUAUUUGGGCUAAAGACAUGUUCUCUGGAGGCUUUGUUUUUCACUUAAUUGAAAACAUCUACAGUACUGCUGCCAAAGUAAGUGAUUAAGGGCCAGCCUUGCUGAGAGGGCCCCUUGCCUUGAAACCAUGAAGCCUUGCUGAUCAUUUGUCAACUUCUUAGACCUUAGUAUCAGGUUCUGCUUAUCAAAUAGUAGUGAACAGGAGGAUCAUUGAGGUGACCACUUUUGGGGCCUCAUCCAAGGAGUUGUCACUGGAUUUUUCUUCAGAAAUCUUCUUGGAACAAGAAAAUACCUUGUCUCUUCCAAAGGCAGCGUAGCUGCUGGAAGACAUCUCCUUGUGCUGGUGGAGCAUUACCUUCAUCAUAGGCCUCGUUUCUGCUUGUAGAGCAAUUCACCUGUGCUACUGUCUUGGUUAAGAAAGCUCUCCUGGAGAAGAGUGCAGACCGAGAGUGUAGCCUGUCCAGUCCAGCUUCCUGGAUCUCACAUGGCGUCACGUCCAAGUUGCAUGAUGUCCCAAGGGCAGCUGCCAUCUGCCACACAUCAGUCAUUACAGGCCAACAUUACCAACCCAGUCUCCACAGACAGUAUUAAAAAGGUCUCUUUGCCAGGUCCUAGCGCAUUUUUCUUUCUGAAUGUUUACAUAUGAGCAUGAGUCACAAAUUAUCGGUGUAAGGACAGCGUAUUUGUGUGCAUCAGAACUGUGGGAUUAGUGAAGUCCAUGCUUGUGGUUUUUAGAGAUGUUCAUCAUUAAUUUACACAGCGGUCUCCUGUUGUGGUUUGGUCAGGAUUUGCGUCAGCACAGGAAAACAUUUUCUGCUCCCAGGAACCAUUUCCAGUUCUGGCAUAUAAAUUGUAGGACUGUAGUCACUUCUGGAAUACUACUACUAACUGUGUAUUCUAGGAAUAGAGCCCUUUCAUAUCAGUAGGAAUUUUUUCUUCCAUAUGGGAAGAAAUAGAAAUCUGAACCUAAAUGCCUUCAGAACUGGUAGAGAAGGCUGUGAAGGAAUCUUGCUGUAUUGCUUUCAAAUUAAAUAUUGUAUUAAGCAACUGUUGCCUCCUAGGAUUCUUCUUAUGACCAGAUGGAAACAUUAACUGACAGCAUUAUACACUGUUUUGACACUACACUUGGUGUCUGCAGA